AUUGAACGCUGGCGGCAGGCCUAACACAUGCAAGUCGAGCGAGCGGCGGACGGGUGAGUAAUGUAUGGGGACUGCCCGCUAGAGGGGGAUAACUACUGGAAACGGUGGCUACUACCGCAUACUCUCGGAUUACCCAUGUGGGAGUAGCUAGUAGGUGGGUUAAUGGCUCACCUAGGUGACGAUCUCUAGCUGGUCUGAGUGGAUGAUGAGCAACACUGGGACGGGGACACGGCCCAAAACCCUACGGAGACAGGAGUGGGAAAUAUUGCGCAAUGGGCGGAAGCCUGAUGUAGCCAAGCGGCGUGUAUGAAGAGGGCCUUAGGGUUGUGAAGUACUUUAAGCGGGGAGGCGUUACCCGAAGAAGAAGCACCGGCUAACUCCGUGCCAGCCGCCGCGGUAAUUC
rnacentral:rRNA from 1 species